GACGAACGCUGGCGGCGUGCUUAACACAUGCAAGUCGAACGGUAAGGCUCCAGCUUGCUGGGGUACACGAGUGGCGAACGGGUGAGUAACACGUGGGUGACCUGCCCUGCACUUCGGGAUAAGCCUGGGAAACUGGGUCUAAUACCGGAUAGGACCAUGGUGUGGAUACUGUGGUGGAAAGUUUUUUCGUUGUUGGAUGGGCCCGCGGCCUAUCAGCUUGUUGGUGGGGUAAUGGCCUACCAAGGCGGCGACGGGUAGCCGGCCUGAGAGGGUGGACGGCCACAUUGGGACUGAGACACGGCCCAGACUCCUACGGGAGGCAGCAGUGGGGAAUAUUGCACAAUGGGCGGAAGCCUGAUGCAGCGACGCCGCGUGGGGGAUGACGGCCUUCGGGUUGUAAACUCCUUUCACCAUCGACGAAGGGUUUCUGACGGUAGAUGGAGAAGAAGCACCGGCUAACUACGUG
rnacentral:rRNA from 1 species